UACGGAGGAUGCAAGCGUUAUCCGGAAUUAUUGGGCGUAAAGCGUCCGCAGGUGGCACUUCAAGUCUGUCGUCAAAGACCGGGGCUUAACCCUGGAAAGGCGAUGGAAACUGAAAGGCUAGAGAGAGGUAGGGGUAGAGGGAAUUCCCAGUGUAGCGGUGAAAUGCGUAGAGAUUGGGAAGAACAUCGGUGGCGAAAGCGCUCUACUGGACCUCAUCUGACACUCAGGGACGAAAGCUAGGGGAGCGAACGGG
rnacentral:rRNA from 1 species